rnacentral:tRNA from 1 species
GGCCGGUUAGCUCAGUCGGUUAGAGUGUGGUGCUGAUAACACCAAGGUCGUGGGUUCAAUCCCCGUUCAGUCCC